UUUUAUGGAGAGUUUGAUCCUGGCUCAGGACGAACGCUGGCGGCGUGCCUAAUACAUGCAAGUCGAGCGGACUGAUGGGAGCUUGCUCCCUGAUGUUAGCGGCGGACGGGUGAGUAACACGUGGGCAACCUGCCUGUAAGACUGGGAUAACUCCGGGAAACCGGGGCUAAUACCGGAUAACCCGUUCCACCUCAUGGUGGAGCGGUAAAAG
rnacentral:rRNA from 1 species